rnacentral:rRNA from 1 species
GAUGAACGCUGGCGGCGUGCCUAAUACAUGCAAGUCGAGCGAACAGACGAGGAGCUUGCUCCUCUGACGUUAGCGGCGGACGGGUGAGUAACACGUGGAUAACCUACCUAUAAGACUGGGAUAAUUUCGGGAAACCGGAGCUAAUACCGGAUAAUAUAUUGAACCGCAUGGUUCAAUAGUGAAAGACGGUUUUGCUGUCACUUAUAGAUGGAUCCGCGCCGCAUUAGCUAGUUGGUAAGGUAACGGCUUACCAAGGCAACGAUGCGUAGCCGACCUGAGAGGGUGAUCGGCCACACUGGAACUGAGACACGGUCCAGACUCCUACGGUAGGCAGCAGUAGGGAAUCUUCCGCAAUGGGCGAAAGCCUGACGGAGCAACGCCGCGUGAGUGAUGAAGGUCUUCGGAUCGUAAAACUCUGUUAUUAGGGAAGAACAAAUGUGUAAGUAACUAUGCACGUCUUGACGGUACCUAAUCAGAAAGCCACGGCUAACUACGUG